UGAGUCUGAAGCCAGCAUCCCAGAGGACGUAGAUCUGACUAGAGCUGAGUCUCUGAACCCAGGAAGAAGAACACUUCAGGAGACAGGAAUCUAAGCUGGUGCCUUUA
rnacentral:lncRNA from 1 species